GUGGAUUAGAUACCCUGGUAGUCCACGCCCUAAACGAUGCGAACUAGGUGUUGGGGAAGGAGACUUUCUUAGUACCGCAGCUAACGCGUGAAGUUCGCCGCCUGGGGAGUACGGUCGCAAGAUUAAAACUCAAAGGAAUUGACGGGGACCCGCACAAGCGGUGGAUGAUGUGGAUUAAUUCGAUGCAACGCGAAAAACCUUACCUACCCUUGACAUGCCUGGAAUCCUGCUGAGAGGUGGGAGUGCCCGAAAGGGAACCGGGACACAGGUGCUGCACGGUUGUCGUCAGCU
rnacentral:rRNA from 1 species